rnacentral:rRNA from 1 species
UACGUAGGGGGCAAGCGUUGUCCGGAAUCAUUGGGCGUAAAGAGCGUGUAGGCGGCCCGACAAGUCUGGUGUGAAAUCUUAAGGCUCAACCUUAAGCUGUCAUCGGAUACUGUCGGGCUUGAGUCCGGAAGAGGAGAGUGGAAUUCCCGGUGUAGAGGUGAAAUUCGUAGAUAUCGGGAGGAACACCAGUGGCGAAGGCGCUGACCUGGACGAUGAUUGACGCUGAGGCGCGAAAGCGUGGGGAGCAAACAGG